rnacentral:rRNA from 1 species
UAGCCCAAACCGGCUUUGUUUCGGCAAAGUCGGGGUAAUAGGACUUCGACAAAAGUUUAAUGAUAGAUAUAGGAGAACCUACUGGAAAGUAUGGCCGAAGAGCAUGAAAGCUGCGUAUCCGACAUAUCGAACAAUAGACGACGGAGCACCUGAGUAGCGCGGGACACGAGACAUCCUGUGUGAAUUGGCGGGGCCCAUCCCGUAAGGCUAAAUACUCCCGAGAGACCGAUAGUGAACCAGUACCGUGAGGGAAAGGUGAAAAGAACCUCGAACAGAGGAGUGCAAUAGACCCUGAACCCGUCUGCCUACAAGCGGUAGGAGCGCCAUUAAGGUGUGACUGCGUGCCUUUUGCAUAAUGAACCUACGAGUUACUGUUUGUGGCAAGGUUAAUUGUUAUAAUCAAGACAAGGAGCCGAAGCGAAAGCGAGUCUUAAAAGGGCGCCCAUUUAGUCACGAGCAGUAGACGCGAAACCAAGUGAUCUACCCUUGGUCAGGUUGAAGGUUAGGUAACACUAACUGGAGGACCGAAUCGGUAAGCGUUGAAAAGCUUUCGAAUGAACUGAGGGUAGGGGUGAAAGGCUAAUCAAACUUGGAGAUAGCUCGUACUCCCCGAAAUGCAUUUAGGUGCAGCCUGUCGGAUGUUAUCAUGAGGUAGAGCGACUGAUUGGAUGCGAGGGUUUCACCGCCUAUCAAGUCCAGAUAAACUCCGAAUGCAUGAUAAUUGACCGAUGGAGUGAGGGCAUGGGUGCUAAGGUCCAUGUCCGAGAGGAGAAGAAUCCGGACCACCGGCUAAGGUCCCGAAAUAAUUGCUAAGUUGUAAAAACGAAGUCAAGAUGCAGAGACAGCUAGGAUGUUGGCUUGGAAGCAGCCAUUCAUUUAAAGAGUGCGUAACAGCUCACUAGUCGAGGAUUUUGGCAUGGAUAAUACACGGGCAUAAGCAAUUUACCGAAGCCGUGGGAUAUAGUAAAAUAUCGGUAGGGGAGCAUUCCAGCGACGUAGAAGGGAAAAGGGCGACUUUUUCUGGAGUUUCUGGAAAAGCAAAUGUAGGUAUAAGUAACGAUAAAGGGGGCGAGAACCCCCCUCGCCGAAAGACCAAGGAUUCCUGAUCAACGCUAAUCGGAUCAGGGUUAGUCGGGGCCUAAGGAUAAGCCGAUAGGCGAUUCCGAUGGACGAACCGGUUAAUAUUCCGGUACUGAUACAGAGAGCGAUGUGGUGACGGAGAAGUGACAGUCCGGCCGUCUGACGGAAUAGGCGGUUAAAGGGUGUAGAUGUUGAUCGGGGUAGGCAAAUCCGCCCUGAGAGUCGAACCUGACAGUACCCGGAGUACAAGUACGAAGGGAUAAGGACGUAAACCGGCUCCCAAGAAAACCCGCUAAGCAUAUUUCUGUGUUACCCGUACCGUAAACCGACACAGGUGGUUGGGUUGAGUAUACUAAGGCGCUCGAGAGAUUCGCGGUUAAGGAACUAGGCAAAAUGGUCCUGUAACUUCGGGAGAAAGGACGCCUGUCUCCGGACAGGCCGCAGAAACCAGGCCCAGGCGACUGUUUAACAAAAACACAAGGCUAUGCAAAAAAGCAAUUUGAGGUAUAUAGUCUGACACCUGCCCGGUGCUGGAAGGUUAAGAGGAGGAGUCAUCGUCAAGAGAAGCUCUGAAUUGAAGCCCCAGUAAACGGCGGCCGUAACUAUAACGGUCCUAAGGUAGCGAAAUUCCUUGUCGGGUAAGUUCCGACCUGCACGAAUGGUGUAACGAUCUGGGCACUGUCUCAACCGCGAUCUCGGUGAAAUUGUAGUAUCGGUGAAGAUGCCGAUUACCCGC